rnacentral:rRNA from 1 species
CAGUCGCCGCGGUAAUACGUAGGGUGCAAGCGUUAAUCGUAAUUACUGGGCGUAAAGCGUGCGCAGGCGGUUAUAUAAGACAGAUGUGAAAUCCCCGGGCUCAACCUGGGAACUGCAUCUGUGACUGUAUAGCUAGAGUACGGCAGAGGGGGAUGGAAUUCCGCGUGUAGCAGUGAAAUGCGUAGAUAUGCGGAGGAACACCGAUGGCGAAGGCAAUCCCCUGGGCCUGUACUGACGCUCAUGCACGAAAGCUAGGGGAGCAAACAGGAUUAGAUACCCGAGUAGUCCCUGUCUCUUAUAU